CCGCCGGUAGCUCAUCAGGUAAGAGUAACUGUCAACUGAGCAGGGGGUACGAGGUUCGAGUCCUCGCCGGCGGACCC
rnacentral:tRNA from 1 species